rnacentral:pre_miRNA from 1 species
UCUUCAUUCUGCUCGCUCUCUCACCGGCCAGAGAGGCGAGACAGUGUGGCAUAUGAAGAGA